rnacentral:rRNA from 1 species
CGGGUGAGUAACGCGUGAGCAACCUGCCUUUCAGAGGGGAUAACGUUUGGAAACGAACGCUAAUACCGCAUGAUAUUAUCUUAUCGCAUGAUAGGAUGAUUAAAGGAGUGAUCCGCUGAAAGAUGGGCUCGCGUCCGAUUAGGUAGUUGGUGAGGUAACGGCCCACCAAGCCGACGAUCGGUAGCCGGACUGAGAGGUUGGACGGCCACAUUGGGACUGAGACACGGCCCAGACUCCUACGGGAGGCAGCAG